rnacentral:rRNA from 1 species
UACGAAGGGGGCUAGCGUUGCUCGGAAUCACUGGGCGUAAAGGGUGCGUAGGCGGGUCUUUAAGUCAGGGGUGAAAUCCUGGAGCUCAACUCCAGAACUGCCUUUGAUACUGAGGAUCUUGAGUUCGGGAGAGGUGAGUGGAACUGCGAGUGUAGAGGUGAAAUUCGUAGAUAUUGGGAGGAACACCAGUGGCGAAGGCGGCGAUCUGGGAAGAUACUGACGCUGAGGUGCGAAAGCGUGGGGAGCAAACAGG